UAGGAUUUCACAAGGCUCCUGGAUUUCAGUAUUGUACAUGAUGCAGGAGGAAUUUUCCAGUCCCUUGAGAAUGACAUUGACAAUGUGGAGAAAGUUUGGAAGUGAGCAGGAUACAGUGCAAAUCGACAAAGAAUA